rnacentral:RNase_P_RNA from 1 species
GGAGUCGGCCGGACAGUCGCGUCGCGCGAUGAGCGCAUCGAGGAAAGUCCGGGCUCCAUAGGGCAGAGUGCCAGGUAACUCCUGGGCAGCGUGAGCUGACGGCCAGUGCAACAGAGAGCAGACCGCCGAUGGCCUGCGCCACUUUCGGGUGACGCGGGAUCAGGCAAGGGUGAAAGGGUGCGGUAAGAGCGCACCGCGUACGGGGCCAACGCCGUACGGCACGGUAAACCCCACUCGGAGCAAGACCAAAUAGGGGAACGAUAACGCGGCCC